UCAACAAUGACUUAAAGCAUCAUCUGAAAUCAGAUUUAGACAUUGCCCGGUUCUUUCAGCACUUCGAAAGAGCUGUCAAAGUAAAAAGAGAUGUUGAGGUCAAUUCAGAGUUUGAUUCCAGGAAGUACUUACCAAGAAUCAAAAUGAAGACCCCAAUGUUGAUGCAAGUCGGCACACUUUAUACUCCUGCUAUAUUUGAUUUUUUUCAAAAGGAAUACCAGAGAUCUAUAUCAGCAUGCGCCGAAGCACUAGAUGGACAAUACAAAUACAUGGUUAAAAUUGGAUAUCCUUUUGAGCAUCCAAUAUUUGAAGAAGAAUGGGAAGUUACUGGUAACCCUGUGGAACAAACAUCAUCAUGCAGUUGUGGUCAGUUUGAUAGACUAGGAAUAUUGUGUGCGCAUGCUUUAAAAGUUCUUGACUUGAUGAACAUUAAGUUGCUUCCAUCACACUAUAUUUUGAAGCGAUGGACUCGAGAAGCACGAGCAGGAUCUGUUAAGGAUAGUCAUGGAAGGAUUGUGAUUGCAGAUCCAAAUAUAGAGGCAGUGCUCCACCACAAUGGCCUAUCGCACAAAUUUAAUAACUUGGCAACUGAAGCAUCACAUUCUGAAGAAUGUUGUAUUUUGAUCGACAAUACACUUGAUAACCUUAGUAAGAAAGUGAAACAACGGUUGUUGAAUGCAGAAGUGCCUUCGCCAGCAUCAGACGAUUUGUUCAAUGCCAAAGUGACUCCUCCAGCAACAACUGAUUUGUUGGCUGCUGCGUGCCUAAAAAAGAAGGAAGUUAACAAGGCAGACAAAAAAUCCAAAAGACGGAAAGAUUGGACUGAAAGGCAAUACAAAAGAAAGAAGAUAGGACCAGCCACAACUACCGCACCACCCUUAUCCAAGGUACCAUUGACACAUUGUACCAUUCAAAUGUAGUUUACUCAAGUACUAAUAUUCAAACUAUCACUUGCAACAGAUAACAAAGCGGAAAAAACGGAGUUCAAGACAAAAGAAAAUCAUUCAACGGUGCAAAAUCUGAAUGAGGAAGACUUGCGAGGAUAUGAGCACAUUACAAACUUCACUGAACUACUGAAUAUGCCUAGUACGAGAGCCUGCACUGGAGGCAUAUAUCCUAAGAAUAUAUUCUAAUUAUGAUGCUUUGGAGAACAUCAGAAAAUCAUUAUUUUGUUGAACUUCUGUAGACUUUCAAUUGUUGAACUUUUGUAGACCUUCAAGUUGUACGAAAAAUAUGAAACUUGUAAUUUUGUUCAACUAAUUUUGUUUCUGGAAGAUCCUUUUUUUACUUCCUAGAUACAUGAGCUCCUCCAUGGAUCAAAUCAAAAUCACCCACGAUCUCAAAUCAAACUUGGUGUACACAUUUCUUCAUUGAGGAAAUCACAUGCAGUGAUACAAACAAAAGAUAUAGGAGUGUUCUGUUCCUGUGAUACUGAAUAAGUGAUACAGACAACAAAUAUAAGAUUGAGGAAAAUUCAGAAGCACCUCAUUGUCCAACAA
rnacentral:lncRNA from 1 species